GCCUGGGUGGCUCAAUUGGUUGAGCAUCUGACUUUGACUCAGGUCAUGAUCUCACGGUCUGUGGGUUCGAGCCCCACAUUGGGCU
rnacentral:tRNA from 1 species